ACAUGCCUACAACAUAGUGUUAAUGCAUCGUAUCCCAUUAGAACUCCACAUUUAAGCGUGCUCAUGCUAGAGUAGUACUGGGAUGGGUGAUUGCUCAAGAAGUCCUAGUGUUUUACAUGCC
rnacentral:rRNA from 1 species